CCUACGGGUGACAGCAGUGAGGGAUAUUGGUCAAUGGGGGAAACCCUGAACCAGCAACGCCGCGUGAGGGAAGACGGUCUUCGGAUUGUAAACCUCUGUUCUCUGUGAAGAUAAUGACGGUAGCAGAGGAGGAAGCUCCGACUAACUAGGUGCCAGCACACGCGGUAAUACGUAGGGAGCCAGCGUUGUCCGGAUUUACUGGGUGUAAAGGGUGCGUAGGGGGCCCUGCAAGUCAGAAGUGAAAUCCAUGGGCUUAACUCGUGAACGGCUGUUGAACCGGUAGGGCUUGAGUGAAGUAGAGGCAGGCGGAAUUCGCGGUGUAGCGGUGAAAUGCGUAGAGAUCGGGAGGAACACCAGUGGCGAAGGCGGCUUGCUGGGCUGUAACUGACGCUGAAGCACGAAAGCGUGGGGAGCAAACAGGAUUAGAUACCCGAGUAGUC
rnacentral:rRNA from 1 species